UAUGUAGUAAUAUAUUGCAGCAAAUAUUAUACACGGUUCCUAUACCGAUUGAAAUCAUUAAAAACUGAACCUCAUCAUCAAUUUAUUAUAUGAAAACGUCCCCCAUAAGGUAUUUUAUUGGACCGUCAAUGUUAAAAAGAAAACAUUAAUAUUUCAUUACAUCGUCCUUCGCGGAUCCGAAAGCUCAACGAACCGUAUGACACGCCUAUGUUCUGUACAAAGUCACCUGGAAAACGUUUUUAUUUCCGUACACCUACCUGUCGAGGAUAAUUAUUAUUAUUAUUGUAUGACCGUUAAAUCUAAUAAAAAACCGACGGGAGAUUGUGUAUUAUUUUCCAUCUGUGCGAGAGCUGCGUUUCAACUUUGGCAUGGUAUACAAACG